rnacentral:lncRNA from 1 species
CGGAGUGGCACUAAGAGGGGGGUGGGGUGAAUUAGUGUAACGGAUUAAAACUUCAGUUUUGGAAAUAUCUUUCGUACGAUAAAGAACCGAACUCGGAAGUGCUUAACUUGAAAGCGUGUUCGUAAAGGUGUGCAGCAAAAGUAAUGAGGAAGUAAAGCACGUAUGAAGGUUUGUAGUAAGGUAAAUAGCAAUAAGUAAAUGCAAACCAGAGAACACACCAAUUUAAAGUGGUUCGGUCAAAAUGACCUACAUCCACUUGCGAAGCCUUCUUCGAAGAGGCUCCCAACUUCCACUAGCAAAUCACUUUGAAGGGGAAGGAAAAAUACCCCUCUUACAACCUUUUAC